rnacentral:misc_RNA from 1 species
CACUGGAGCUGCCAAGGCUGUUGGGAAGGUGUUGCCUGCUCUUAAUGGGAAACUUACGGGAAUGGCGUUCCGUGUUCCAACUGUUGAUGUUUCUGUGGUUGACCUUACAGUGAGGCUAGAAAAGAAAGCUACAUAUGAUCAAAUUAAAACUGCUAUCAAGUGAGUACAGUUAUAUUAUGUAUGCGUGAGAAAGUUGCCAUGAGGGUGGCAUGAUGUGUUGACCUUUGUAUGGGCAAACAGGGGAUUUUUGAUAAGUUUAGAUGCUUAAAACUUUUCAAUUUGUAGCCUGCUUUAGCUGAUCUAUUUUAUUCAAUCUCAUGUUAUUUUAUUUUUGUGUAUUUAAAUAUAGGGAGGAAUCAGAGGGAAAGUUGAAGGGAAUAUUGGGCUACACUGAAGAUGAUGUGGUUUCCACAGAUUUUAUUGGUGACGACAGGUAAGGUCAAGAGCGAGCUUGCGUGCGUGCGUCCGUAGUUUGUGUGGCUUUCCCACACAGGCUUGGUACUUCAUCCUGGACUCUUGAGCUAGACUGAAAGACCGAAUUGGUGAUCUGGUCUGGUUCACUCCUCUUUUUUUUUUUUGGGGGGGAAAAAAGUGAAAUCAACCGUUGUAUUGUAGUAAAUCUGGAAUUGGAACUCUGUGAACCAAACCUAGGUUUCAUUUGGGGUUGAGGUUGGAAGUUCAAAAAAGCUCUUUUUGAAUGAGUAAUAUUUUAGAUAUACUGUUGAAAUAAAUUAUUUAGUUUUGGAAUUUUUAUAAUUAAAACUUGUUAAAUUUAAUUUUUAGUACUGUUUAAAUUAUAUAGUUAAGGAGGUUUUUCUUAUCAAUAAAUCCAACAAUGGUGUCAAAUAAACACCUAUGUGGGCCUUAUCACUGCUUGAACUUGGUAGGUAGGUAGGUAGUGGAACAACGGACAUGCGUGUCUGCACAUAUUUAUGCACACAUUUUUGUUUACCAUUGUUUCAAUUGUGAACCUCCUAUGCAUCUACGGAUUACACCAAAUAAUAGAAUGUGUGAUUUACUUAAUUUUGUAGGUCGAGUAUUUUUGAUGCCAAAGCUGGAAUUGCUUUGAAUGAAAAUUUUGUGAAGAUUGUUGCUUGGUACGACAAUGAGUGGGGCUACAGCACCCGUGUGAUCGACUUGAUCCGCCACAUCCAUAACGCAUCUACUCAGUAAGGUUGCGUAGCCACUGUAGAUGGUUCGACUUGGUUCAGUUUCUCGUUGUAUGAGGCGAAAUCAAAAUAAAUUUGUCAUAAAGAUAAUGUUUUGAGAUAGAUAUGGUAUGAUUGUCGGAGUCUAUCGCCUGGUUUUUCCUUUUGUUAGUGUCAGAGGAUGUUCAAAUUCCUCCUCCUGGGUAUGAUUAUCGUCUUGCUAGUAUGUAAGAGUUGUACCAAAACAAAACUUGAUGCUUCUCCUCCCGGCGUCUCCAACCUCUGCUCACGAGUACGUGUUUGCAGCACACGCUUGGUUUAUCAAACCACAUGAGCUUGCAUUGCACCUCUGAAUGUUAUUAUAAAUAUGUCUUCUUGUGCGGAAUGGAGACCAUUACAUUCUGUAUUUCUGUUUGAUCUGAUUGUGUGGUAUGUCGGUAUGAAAAUGUUUUAACUCUUGGGAGAUGAGUAGAGGGUGUUUUUUGUGCAUUCUUUUUAUCGAAAGCGCUGCAGUUGAAUGAGGAAAGAUGUGGUAGGGGUUUAGAAUUGAACAACAGAUGUCAAUCCCACCACGAUGGUCAUUUUGAGGAAAAAGUGUUGUGGGAUUAGUUGUGACCAUUCCAAAACGGCCAACCUAUCCUUAAUUGGGCGGGGAUUCAAUUGAACAAUAUCUAGUCCAAUUAAGCUUAACCUUGGAAAAUCAUUAUUUCUUUUUAAUUUUUCGGCCUCGAGAUUAUCAUAAACCCAAACUGGUAUUCGGAAAAAUUAGUAGAUGUAUGGGCAAAGUUGGUCAGACGAUGGAUGAGCAACUUGGUUGAGCCAUUGGUUUUUUAUUUAAACGGAAAAUUCAGAUUUAAAAUUUCCCCGGUGGCGAUCUAAAACUCCAGAUGCUCUACCAAGUUUCUGAAGGCAGAAUCAUAAAAAAGGUUGCCAUUUAUUCGGGGCUGGGAAUGAGGAAAUUUUGAGUUUUGAAAUUUAUGUAGCUGUUAUUUGUUUGGUGGGAAUUCAAUUAGAGUAUUUUCUGACUAAGUGACUUAUUGUUAAAUAGGAGCUACUGUGGGAGAGGUUUAUACUCUCAUGCAUAACUCAUUGUUUAUUAUUC